rnacentral:rRNA from 1 species
AUUGAACGCUGGCGGAAUGCUUUACACAUGCAAGUCGAACGGCAGCACGGACUUCGGUCUGGUGGCGAGUGGCGAACGGGUGAGUAAUGUAUCGGAACGUAUCCAAUAAUGGGGGAUAACUAAUCGAAAGGUUGGCUAAUACCGCAUACGCCCUACGGGGGAAAGCAGGGGAUCUUCGGACCUUGCGUUAAUGGAGCGGCCGAUAUCUGAUUAGCUAGUUGGUGAGGUAAAGGCUCACCAAGGCGACGAUCAGUAGCUGGUCUGAGAGGACGACCAGCCACACUGGAACUGAGACACGGUCCAGACUCCUACGGGAGGCAGCAGUGGGGAAUUUUGGACAAUGGGCGCAAGCCUGAUCCAGCCAUUCCGCGUGAGUGAAGAAGGCCUUCGGGUUGUAAAGCUCUUUCGCAAGGGAAGAAAACUUACCUUCUAAUAAAGGGUGAGGUUGACGGUACCUUGAUAAGAAGCACCGGCUAACUACGUGCCAGCAGCCGCCGUAACAC